CCACAGAUCAUCCAAGAAUACGAAUCAGGAAAGGCAAUUCCAAACCAACAAAUAAUCUCAAAACUGGAGAGAGCUCUUGGAGCGAAACUUCGAGGGAAGAAAUAAAAUAAAGUGUGAGCGCCCACAGAUCAUCCAAGAAUACGAAUCAGGAAAGGCAAUUCCAAACCAACAAAUAAUCUCAAAACUGGAGAGAGCUCUUGGAGCGAAACUUCGAGGGAAGAAAUAAAAUAAAGUGUGAGCGCACAAUUGAGCCUUAUGGAUUGUCACUGUCUGUUUGAAUCCAAAAUUUGGUCAUGUACACAGACUUUUCUUUAAUCAUUGGCUAUGUUUUUGCUUCGUUAUGCCUGGAUUGACGUAUACUGUUUUCUCUGUUGAAUUAGCUGUUUCUUCUGUGGAAAUUUUGAACUCUCUCUUUUACAGA
rnacentral:misc_RNA from 1 species